CAGUCGUGAGGAAGGUAGUGUAGUUAAUAGCUGCAUUACUUUGACGUUAGCGACAGAAGAAGCACCGGCUAACUCCGUGCCAGCAGCCGCGGUAAUACGGAGGGUGCGAGCGUUAAUCGGAAUUACUGGGCGUAAAGCGCAUGCAGGUGGUUUGUUAAGUCAGAUGUGAAAGACCCGGGGCGUCAACCUCGGAAUUGCAUUUGAAACUGGCAGACUAGAGUACUGUAGAGGGGGUAGAAUUUCAGGUGUAGCGGUGAAAUGCGUAGAGAUCUGAAGGAAUACCGGUGGCGAAGGCGGCCCCCUGGACAGAUACUGACACUCAGAUGCGAAAGCGUGGGGAGCAAACAGGAUUAGACUACCCUGGUAG
rnacentral:rRNA from 1 species